rnacentral:rRNA from 1 species
AUUGAACGCUGGCGGCGUGCUUAACACAUGCAAGUCGAUCGGUAACGCGGGGGCAACCCUGGCGACGAGAGGCGGACGGGUGAGGAACGCUUGGGAAUCUGCCUAUCAGCGGGGGACAACACGGGGAAACUCGUGCUAAUACCGCAUACGCACUACGGAGGAAAGCCGGGGACCGCAAGGCAUGGCACUGAUAGAUGAGCCCAAGCCGGAUUAGCUAGUUGGCGGGGUAACGGCCCACCAAGGCCACGAUCCGUAGCUGGUCGGAGAGGACGAUCAGCCACACUGGAACUGAGACACGGCCCAGACUCCUACGGGAGGCAGCAGUGGGGAAUUUUGGACAAUGGGCGCAAGCCUGAUCCAGCAAUGCCGCGUGCAGGAAGAAGGCCUUCGGGUUGUAAACUGCUUUUGUACGGAGCGAAAAGGCCCCCUCUAAUACGGGGGGUUGAUGCCGGUACCGUAAGAAUAAGCACCGGCUAACUACGUGCCAGCAGCCGCCGUAAUAC